rnacentral:misc_RNA from 1 species
GAUGAAGAACGUAGCGAAAUGCGAUAAGUAAUGUGAAUUGCAGAAUCCAGUGAAUCAUCGAAUCUUUGAACGCACAUUGCGCCCGCCAGCAUUCUGGCGGGCAUGCCUGUUCGAGCGUCAUUUCAACCCUCGACCUCCCCUUGGGGAGGUCGGCGUUGGGGACCGGCAGCACACCGCCGGCCCUGAAAUGGAGUGGCGGCCCGUCUGCGGCGACCUCUGCGUAGUAAUACAGCUCGCACCGGAACCCCGACGCGGCCACGCCGUAAAACACCCAACUUCUGAACGUUGACCUCGAAUCAGGUUGGACUACCCGCUGAACUUAAGCAUAUCAAUAAGCGGAGGA